rnacentral:rRNA from 1 species
UACGGAGGGUGCAAGCGUUAUCCGGAUUCACUGGGUUUAAAGGGAGCGUAGGUGGGUUGGUAAGUCAGUGGUGAAAUCCCCGAGCUUAACUUGGGAACUGCCAUUGAUACUAUCAGUCUUGAAUAUUGUGGAGGUCAGCGGAAUAUGUCAUGUAGCGGUGAAAUGCUUAGAGAUGACAUAGAACACCAAUUGCGAAGGCAGCUGGCUACACAUAUAUUGACACUGAGGCUCGAAAGCGUGGGGAUCAAACAGG